ensembl:lncRNA
CUGAUCAUUAAUCCCAGUCAAGCAAGAAGUCAUCGUGCUUCAUAGGAUCAAAGCUGAACUCGGAUCCAGGAAAGAUGUGCCCUCCUCCUGCUUCUGUUGCCCUAAACAGGAGUCAUAGGUACUACUGCUGAGCUGGAGAACACAGGUCCACAGAGCAAGAUCAGGAUAUUACACUGUUCGAAAGACCUGGAUGGUAAGGAAAGGACACCUCCACUUACCAUUGUAGCAUCUCUAUUUGAUGGUUUCUGUUGCCUCUCUUGGUUGCUCUCAGGGAGUGCAAACUGUCAGUGCUGGGUUUCCAAUCCUCUUCCCCCCAAAAAACUGAUGCAAGUUUUUGGGUCACCACACUAGGGGAGAGCCAACUGCAG